rnacentral:lncRNA from 1 species
CAGGAUCCACCUGAUGGCUGGCCGAGUACCCCGAGGGGCUGACCGAGAGGCAGUCAAGGGUGAGAUGGAGACAGUCUUUGUGGAGAACCUGAGGCAUGCGGCUGAGGUUCUGGCUCAGGAGAACCUCGUGGGAUUGCUGGAGCCCAUUAACACGCGCAUCACAGACCCCCAGUAUUUCCUGGACACUCCCCAGCAGGCGGCAGCCAUCUUGCAGAAGGUUGGGAGACCCAAUCUGCAAUUGCAAAUGGACAUAUUCCACUGGCAGGUCAUGGAUGGGAAUCUGACUGGAAACAUCAGGGAGUUCCUGCCCAUC